rnacentral:rRNA from 1 species
UGGGGAAUUUUGGACAAUGGGCGCAAGCCUGAUCCAGCCAUGCCGCGUGCAGGAUGAAGGCCCUCGGGUUGUAAACUGCUUUUGUACGGAACGAAAAGCCUCUUUCUAAUAAAGAGGGGUGAUGACGGUACCGUAGGAAUAAGGAUCGGCUAACUCCGUGCCAGCAGCCGCGGUAAUACGGAGGAUCCGAGCGUUAUCCGGAUUUACUGGGUUUAAAGGGUGCGUAGGCGGCCCUGCAAGUCAGCGGUGAAAUGUGGCGGCUCAACCGGUUCGCUGCCGCUGAUACUGUAGGGCUUGGAUGCGGUCGAGGCGGGUGGAAUUCGUGGUAUAGCGGUGAAAUGCAUAGAUAUCACGAGGAACGCCUAUAGCGAAGGCAGCUCGCCGGGCCGCGAUCGACGCUGAGGCACGAAAGCGUGGGGAUCAAACA